rnacentral:rRNA from 1 species
AGUGAACGCUGGCGGUAGGCCUAACACAUGCAAGUCGAACGGCAGCACAGUAAGAGCUUGCUCUUACGGGUGGCGAGUGGCGGACGGGUGAGGAAUACAUCGGAAUCUACUUUUUCGUGGGGGAUAACGUAGGGAAACUUACGCUAAUACCGCAUACGACCUACGGGUGAAAGCAGGGGAUCUUCGGACCUUGCGCGAUUGAAUGAGCCGAUGUCGGAUUAGCUAGUUGGCGGGGUAAAGGCCCACCAAGGCGACGAUCCGUAGCUGGUCUGAGAGGAUGAUCAGCCACACAGGAACUGAGACACGGUCCAGACUCCUACGGGAGGCAGCAGUGGGGAAUAUUGGACAAAGGGCGCAAGCCUGAUCCAGCCAUACCGCGUGGGUGAAGAAGGCCUUCGGGUUGUAAAGCCCUUUUGUUGGGAAAGAAAAGCAGCAGGUUAAUACCCCGCUGUUCUGACGGUACCCAAAGAAUAAGCACCGGCUAACUUCGUG